AAAUCAGAGUCUGAAACCUCCUGUCCCGGCCACAAGCAAGCUCUUCCCCCUUAGGAUUCUUCAGGAGAAAGCCAGUCGUCAGACAAGGAGAGCCCCCUCGAAGAGGAAUUAUGUGGACGUCUAAAGUGUUCUAAGCAUUCAGCUGCCUUAAAACUACCCCAAACACUGUUUGCUACAAAGCAUAAUUCAGUGUCCAGAGGGUUGUCCUGGACUCCACCCAGGAGGUUUAGUUUUUGAAGAGCCUAAAGGAUUCCCAGCGUCUCUCUGGGGUGAGUGUGAUAGCCGGAUUCCAAAGGCUUAUAUUGCGCCUGGAUGUUUUAACACCCUGCUCAACGAGCAUUUAACAGAAAUAAAAGAUUAUUCAGCUGGAGUCGACGUAUCUGAGGCAAAACUUUCUUAAACCCCACUAAUGUACAACCUCAAUCCACAACUGGAUUCAAUUACUGCGUGGAAAGAAAGGCAUUUUCUCAUAAAGCUGCUCUGUUUCCGUGCCUGGCUGUGAGCUGGGUCAGCCAUGACAAAGACAAGCCUGUGCGUUGUUUUUGGUUGUUUUUCUUUUCAAGCUCUUCCACUGGUACUGCCAGGCCCCAAGCUGUUUGGAGCAGUUAUGUGGGGGCCAGUUUACUUGUCUUGGCUUUCGGCCUUUCUGUCCAGAGUCGAUGAUAGAAGAACAAGCUGGUGUCCUGCGUGCCCAGUGGAAUUGAGGGGCUACACUGCGGCAAUUGCACCACGGAACACAUAGAACUUUCCUCUUUGGAGGGGCGGAAGGAAUAGAGCAAGACUUUGCCUUUUGAAUAUAUCGGGAAGAGGAGAAGUGCUCAGAACCUGGGAAAAUCUGGAAUUUUCCAAGUCCCUUUCAAUGCUUAAAUCAGCUCUUGCAAGCACUAAGCCUCGCAGCUGGGGCAGCAGCCAUCCUCACCAUGUGCUGGUUCAGAGGCAGUUUCCUCUGAAAUGACUGUGUAAAUUCAGGUGAGUGCUUGUUAAACGCACUAUUAUACACUUGCAGAGCGGGAGCUGAGAGCAUGUAGGCUGGCAGGAAGCAUGGGGGGCGCUGUUUGGCGGGAUUAAUAAUAUGACUAUAAAAGAAAUAGAGGCUCUCCCUGCUGGCUUUUUUUUUUUUUUUAAAGAAAAGGCCAAUAUUUAUACUCAAAUGUCUUGACAGUUUGAAACUCAUUUUUUAUUAAAAUAAAUUAAUACAUAAUUGAUGUGGAGUAUAUACA
rnacentral:lncRNA from 1 species